rnacentral:lncRNA from 1 species
AAAACAUGUUUCGAAUGAAGACUAAAUGCCAAGUCCGAUCGUCAGCAGAGCGCGCACGUGAUUCGUGUAUUUGAAAAUGCAACCGUUAAUGAACGAAGUCGAGUCAAAGUGCUGGAUCGUGCAAUCGACGUCCGUAAUAACUUGUUCUCAAUUGACUGCCUGCCCUUUUUUGACAUGUCAAGACACUUCAGGAGUAUCUGAACGAGUUCACCGACUUGGAAGUUCGGGGAAGUGGAGCGGUAAUGAAGAGGAGAAAAGCCUGCUCGAACAUCACUUGAGUGACAUCAUCUGGGACAGUUGGAACAACUCUACGCUCCACAUUUAAUUCAGUGUCAAUCCUGAUUUCAUCAACAUGGACUGAUGGAACAAAAGUCAUGCAAAUAUGCUGUUUUGUGUAGUGGUGUCACAAGAUAAAGUACUUCCUUGAUGAGUUCAGAGAUGGAUGAUCAAUCAAACAUAGAAUAUGGUUUCUAGCAACCCUGCAGGUAUCCUUCAUACGCCAAUGAGAGUGCAUAAAGCUUGCACAUAUUAUAAACGGUAUCUGUGCUAUCCCCAAUAUAUAACAUUAGACCAAUUACAUUGCCAAAU